UUGCUACAGAGAGAAAGUCUACCCUAUUCCAGCACUCUCCCCUCUGUAAGAUAAGCUGUUAUAUAAACUU
rnacentral:snoRNA from 1 species